rnacentral:rRNA from 1 species
AUUAAUAAUUUAAUUAUUAAUAAAAGAAUUUUUAAUAUGGGAUAUUUUAAUGGGGGUUAAAGUAUUUUUAUGGAAAAAAUUGAAAAGUUUAUAGUUUAUUUGUAUUGUGGGGGAAUUUUGAAAUAAUAUGAAAAAGAAUUAUUUUAAAAGUAAAUUUUAAUUAUUGUAUCUUGUGUAUCAGAGUUUAUUAAAAAUAGUUUAUUUAUUUAAAUAUCUCGAAUUUAAAAGAGUUAAUUAAUUAAUAAUAGUUAUUGUGGUAUAAAUAUUUUUAAUAAUUAAUUAGAAGUGAAAUGUUAUUCGUUUUUAAAUAUAUCUAGUUUUUAUAGAAAAAAAUUUAAUUUUUUAUUAAUAAAAAUUUUUAUUAAUUUAUAAUUAAUAAAAAUUAUUUUUAAUAAAAUAAUUUAAGGGAUAAUCUUUAAAUUAAAUUUUUAUAAUAAUUUUAAGUUUAAAUUAAAAUUUAUAUAAUUUAUAUUUUUAAUAAAUUUUAAUUUGUUAUAAAUAAUUUUGUUUAAAAUAAAAAUUUAAUUUUUAUUUAAUUUUUUAUAUAAAAAUAAAUUUCAAUAAAAAAAAUUAAAUUAUAAUGAUAAAAUUAGUAAAAUUUAUUUAUUGUGUAAAAAUUUAAUUUAAAAUUUUAAUUAUUUAAAAGGAAUUCGGCAAAAUUUUAUAUUCACUUGUUUAUCAAAAACAUGUCUUUUUGUUAAUAAUUUAAAGUCUAAUCUGCCCACUGAUUUUGAGAUUGAAGGGCUGCAGUAUUUUGACUGUACAAAGGUAGCAUAAUCAUUAGUCUUUUAAUUGAUGACUUGUAUGAAGGAUUGGAUGAAAUAUAUACUGUCUCUUAAAUAAUAGUAAAAUUGAAUUUAAUUUUUUAAUUAAAAAGUUAAAAUUUAUUAAAAAGACGAGAAGACCCUAUAGAGUUUUAUAUUUUAUUUUAUUAAAAUUUUUUUUUUAAGAUUUUAAAUAAUUAUAGAUUAUUUUAUUGGGGUGAUGAAAAAAUUUAAUUAACUUUUUUUAAUUUAUACCAUAGAUAAGUGAUUUAAUGAUCCAAUUUUAUUGAUUAUAAGAAAAAAUUACCUUAGGGAUAACAGCGUAAUUUUUUUUUUUAGUUCGAAUAAAAAAAAAAGUUUGCGACCUCGAUGUUGGAUUAAGAUAAAAGUUAAAUGUAGACGUUUAAAUUUUUGAUCUGUUCGAUCAUUAAAAUCUUACAUGAUCUGAGUUCAAACCGGUGUAAGCCAGGUUGGUUUCUAUCUUUUAAUAUUAAAAAUAUUUUAGUACGAAAGGAUUAAAUAUUACAAUUAUAUUGAAAUUAAUGAAUAUUAUUAAGGUUUAUUUAAAUUAUU